AUACUUACUUGCAGGGGAGACACCAUGAUCACGAAGGUGGUUCUCCCAGGGGUCCGCUCAUCCAUUGCACUCCGGGUGUGCUCACCCCUGCAGUUUCCUUAAAAAAAAAAUUAAUUGUCUUUGGUGCAAAUGCUCUCAGUGGGAAACUGACUGUAUAAUUUGUGGUAGUGGGGGAUUGUGUUUUGCACUUUCCCCUG
rnacentral:snRNA from 1 species